rnacentral:rRNA from 1 species
GAUCCUGGCUCAGGAUGAACGCUAGCGGCAGGCUUAACACAUGCAAGUCGAGGGGCAGCNCGGGGUAGCAAUACUCUGGCGGCGACCGGCGGAAGGGUGCGUAACGCGUGAGCAACAUGCCCGUAUCAGGACGGAUAACCGAUGGAAACGUCGCCUAAUACUCCAUAACAACAUGGGGGACAUCCCUUGUGUUUGAAAGCUACGGCGGAUACGGAUUGGCUCGCGUGACAUUAGCUAGUUGGCGGGGUAACGGCCCACCAAGGCGACGAUGUCUAGGGGUUCUGAGAGGAAGGUCCCCCCACACUGGAACUGAGACACGGUCCAGACUCCUACGGGAGGCAGCAGUGAGGAAUAUUGGUCAAUGGGCGGAAGCCUGAACCAGCCAUGCCGCGUGAAGGAAUGAGGCCCUAUGGGUCGUAAACUUCUUUUGACGGGGAGCAAUAAGGCGUACGUGUACGCUGAUGAGAGUACUCGUCGAAUAAGCAUCGGCUAACUCCGUGCC